rfam:Gossypium hirsutum cultivar TM-1 chromosome 11, whole genome shotgun sequence
AGACCAUGGUGAGAGCAUCUUCGUAUGAGAGACUUAAAAUGCUCCCAAGCUUCAUGAAAACUUUCUCCUUCCAGUUGUUUAAAUGUUGCAAUCUCUCUCUUUAGUUG